GGGGAAUAUUGCACAAUGGGCGCAAGCCUGAUGCAGCGACGCCGCGUGGGGGAUGACGGCCUUCGGGUUGUAAACUCCUUUCGCUAGGGACGAAGCUUUUUGUGACGGUACCUAGAUAAGAAGCACCGGCUAACUACGUGCCAGCAGCCGCGGUAAUACGUAGGGUGCGAGCGUUGUCCGGAAUUACUGGGCGUAAAGGGCUCGUAGGUGGUUUGUCGCGUCGUCUGCGAAAUUCCGGGGCUUAACUCCGGGCGUGCAGGCGAUACGGGCAUAACUUGAGUACUGUAGGGGUAACUGGAAUUCCUGGUGUAGCGGUGAAAUGCGCAGAUAUCAGGAGGAACACCGAUGGCGAAGGCAGGUUACUGGGCAGUUACUGACGCUGAGGAGCGAAAGCAUGGGUAGCGAACAGGAUUAGAUACCCUGGUAGUCCAUGCCGUAAACGGUGGGCGCUAGGUGUGAGGGUCUUUUCACGACUUUCGUGCCGUAGCUAACGCAUUAAGCGCCCCGCCUGGGGAGUACGGCCGCAAGGCUA
rnacentral:rRNA from 1 species